rnacentral:rRNA from 2 species
AUAAGAUGAGAGUUUGAUCCUGGCUCAGGACGAACGCUGGCGGCAUGCCUAAUACAUGCAAGUCGAACGAGCUUCCGUUGAAUGACGUGCUUGCACUGAUUUCAACAAUGAAGCGAGUGGCGAACUGGUGAGUAACACGUGGGAAAUCUGCCCAGAAGCAGGGGAUAACACUUGGAAACAGGUGCUAAUACCGUAUAACAACAAAGUCCGCAUGGAUUUUGUUUGAAAGGUGGCUUCGGCUAUCACUUCUGGAUGAUCCCGCGGCGUAUUAGUUAGUUGGUGAGGUAAAGGCCCACCAAGACGAUGAUACGUAGCCGACCUGAGAGGGUAAUCGGCCACAUUGGGACUGAGACACGGCCCAAACUCCUACGGGAGGCAGCAGUAGGGAAUCUUCCACAAUGGACGAAAGUCUGAUGGAGCAAUGCCGCGUGAGUGAAGAA